rnacentral:lncRNA from 1 species
CUUUUUCACCCUGUAAUGCUUAUGCUUUACAUUUUUUCGAUUUUCACCCUGCAUGUAGGUUGAACUAGCAUAUUUGGGUUUUGGAGAGGAAUGGCAUAUGAACCCAUUAAAAACAAAUGAAAAAUGUUCCUGAUGGUAAACUCAAGGUUUAGCAGUACUGUAUUUGAAGUUGACAUGUAUGUAAUGGCUCAUCUCUGACCUCGAUGCGAUUUUCCCAUUUCUCCCUUUUGAAUUACGUAACAUCUGUAAUUUGGCAUAAAUUGAUUGUCAACAGAAAAGCCAGCAAAUGGACACUACGGAGGUUAUAAACCCAUAAUAUGCAUUUAGGAUGUUCUAAAAUAACUAUUUCUUGUAUACUUUUAUUUGUUAAAAUAAACUAUUUUAUUUA